UACGUAGGGGGCAAGCGUUGUCCGGAAUCAUUGGGCGUAAAGCGCACGUAGGUGGUUUUAUAAGUCGGAUGUGAAAGCCCCGGGCUUAACCUGGGAAUUGCAUCCGAGACUGUCUGACUUGAGUAUGCUAGAGGGAAGUGGAAUUCCAGGUGUAGCGGUGAAAUGCGUAGAUAUCUGGAGGAACACCAAUGGCGAAGGCAACUUCCUGGGGCAAUACUGACACUGAUGUGCGAAAGCGUGGGGAGCAAACAGG
rnacentral:rRNA from 1 species